rnacentral:misc_RNA from 1 species
UCUCCGUUGGUGAACCAGCGGAGGGAUCAUUACAGAGUUGCAAAACUCCCAAACCAUUGUGAACGUUACCUAUCCCGUUGCUUCGGCGGGCGGCCCGGGCCCCGCGCCCGGCGCCCCCCGGCCCCCCGUGGGCGCCCGCCGGAGGUAAACCAAACCCUUGAAUUGCAUGGCCUCUCUGAGUCUUCUGUACUGAAUAAGUCAAAACAUUCAACAACGGAUCUCUUGGUUCUG